rnacentral:rRNA from 1 species
CCUACGGGGGGCAGCAGUAGGGAAUCUUCCACAAUGGACGAAAGUCUGAUGGAGCAACGCCGCGUGAGUGAAGAAGGGUUUCGGCUCGUAAAGCUCUGUUGGUAGUGAAGAAAGAUAGAGGGAGUAACUGGCCUUGAGUUGACGGUAAGUACGGAGAAAGGCACGGCUAACUACGUGCCAGCAGCCGCGGUAAGACGUAGGUGGCAAGCGUUGUCCGGAUUUAUUGGGCGUAAAGCGAGUGCAGGCGGUUCACUAAGUCUGAGGUGAAAGCCUUCGGCUCAACCGGAGAAUUGCAUCCGAACCUUUUGACCUUGAGUGCAGCAGAGGCGAGUUGAACUCCAUUUGUAGCGG